rnacentral:tRNA from 1 species
GCAUUGGUGGUUCAGUGGUAGAAUUCUCACCUUCCAUGAGGGAGGCCCAGGUUCAAUUCCUGUCUAAUGCA